AUACGUAGGGUGCAUGCGUUAUCCGGAAUUAUUGGGCGUAAAGGGCUCGUAGGCGGUUCGUCGCGUCCGGUGUGAAAGUCCAUCGCUUAACGGUGGAUCCGCGCCGGGUACGGGCGGGCUUGAGUGCGGUAGGGGAGACUGGAAUUCCCGGUGUAACGGUGGAAUGUGUAGAUAUCGGGAAGAACACCAAUGGCGAAGGCAGGUCUCUGGGCCGUUACUGACGCUGAGGAGCGAAAGCGUGGGGAGCGAACAGGAUUAGAUACCCUGGUAGUCCACGCCGUAAACGGUGGAUGCUGGAUGUGGGGCCCGUUCCACGGGUUCCGUGUCGGAGCUAACGCGUUAAGCAUCCCGCCUGGGGAGUACGGCCGCAAGGCUAAAACUCAAAGAAAUUGACGGGGGCCCGCACAAGCGGCGGAGCAUGCGGAUUAAUUCGAUGCAACGCGAAGAACCUUACCUGGGCUUGACAUGUUCCCGACGGUCGUAGAGAUACGGCUUCCCUUCGGGGCGGGUUCACAGGUGGUGCAUGGUCGUCGUCAGCUCGUGUCGUGAGAUGUUGGGUUAAGUCCCGCAACGAGCGCAACCCUCGCCCCGUGUUGCCAGCGGAUUAUGCCGGGAACUCACGGGGGACCGCCGGGGUUAACUCGGAGGAAGGUGGGGAUGACGUCAGAUCAUCAUGCCCCUUACGUCCAGGGCUUCACGCGUGCUACAAUGGCCGGUACAACGGGAUGCGACGCGGCGACGCGGAGCGGAUCCCUGAAAACCGGUCUCAGUUCGGAUCGCAGUCUGCAACUCGACUGGGUGAAGGCGGAGUCGCUAGUAAUCGCGAAUCAGCAACGUCGCGGUGAAUGCGUUCCCGGGCCUUGUACACACCGCCCGUCAAGUCAUGAAAGUGGGCAGCACCCGAAGCCGGUGGCCUAACCCCUUGUGGGAUGGAGCCGUCUAAGGUGAGGCUCGUGAUUGGGACU
rnacentral:rRNA from 1 species